GCGGCGGACGGGUGAGUAACACGUGGGUAACCUGCCCGUAAGACCGGGAUAACUCCGGGAAACCGGGGCUAAUACCGGAUAACACCGGGGGCCGCAUGGCUUCCGGUUGAAAGGCGGCCUUUGGCUGCCACUUACGGAUGGGCCCGCGGCGCAUUAGCUGGUUGGCGGGGUAACGGCCCACCAAGGCGACGAUGCGUAGCCGGCCUGANAGGGUGGACGGCCACACUGGGACUGAGACACGGCCCAGACUCCUACGGGAGGCAGCAGUAGGGAAUCUUCCGCAAUGGGCGAAAGCCUGACGGAGCGACGCCGCGUGAGCGAGGAAGGCCUUCGGGUCGUAAAGCUCUGUUGUCAGGGAAGAAGGCGCGCCGUUCGAACAGGGCGGCGCGGUGACGGUACCUGACGAGGAAGCCCCGGCUAACUACGUGCCACCAGCCGCGGUAAAAC
rnacentral:rRNA from 1 species